UACGUAGGGACCAAGCGUUGUCCGGAAUCAUUGGGCGUAAAGCGCGCGUAGGUGGCCAUUUAAGUCCGCUGUGAAAGUCAAAGGCUCAACCUUUGAAAGCCGGUGGAUACUGGAUGGCUAGAGUACGGAAGAGGCGAGUGGAAUUCCUGGUGUAGCGGUGGAAUGCGCAGAUAUCAGGAGGAACACCGGUGGCGAAGGCGGGUCUCUGGGCCGAUACUGACGCUGAGGAGCGAAAGCGUGGGGAGCGAACAGG
rnacentral:rRNA from 1 species